rnacentral:sRNA from 1 species
AAGUCUCCUGUUUAUUCACAGGACAGGUACAGUACUAUCCAGAGCAAUGAAAGCUUUCCCCACACUACCAUGGCCAUCUGCCUCCACCUCCACCUGGAAGGACCUGCCUAGUGGGAUGGCAGAGUUGUU